UACGUAGGCAGCGAGCGUUGUUCGGAAUUACUGGGCGUAAAGAGUGUGUAGGCGGUGCUCUAAGUUCGGUGUGAAAUCUCCCGCUUAACUGGGAGGGUGCGCCGGAAACUGGAGUGCUCGAGCGUGGGAGAGGAAAGCGGAAUUCCUGGCGUAGCGGUGAAAUGCGUAGAUAUCAGGAGGAACACCUGCGGUGUAGACGGCUUUCUGGACCAUUGCUGACGCUGAGACACGAAAGCGUGGGUAGCAAACAGG
rnacentral:rRNA from 1 species